AACGAACGCUGGCGGCAGGCCUAACACAUGCAAGUCGAACGCUCGUAGCAAUACGGGAGUGGCAGACGGGUGCGUAACGCGUGGGAACAUACCCUUUGGUUCGGAAUAACUCAGGGAAACUUGAGCUAAUACCGGAUACGCCCGAGAGGGGAAAGAUUUAUUGCCGAAGGAUUGGCCCGCGUCUGAUUAGCUAGUUGGUGAGGUAACGGCUCACCAAGGCGACGAUCAGUAGCUGGUCUGAGAGGAUGAUCAGCCACACUGGGACUGAGACACGGCCCAGACUCCUACGGGAGGCAGCAGUGGGGAAUAUUGGACAAUGGGCGCAAGCCUGAUCCAGCCAUGCCGCGUGAGUGAUGACGGCCUAGGUUGU
rnacentral:rRNA from 1 species